UAUGCAGUUUGUGCUUAUGUUUGGUGUAAUGUUAAUUUUGCCUAUACCACUAUUUGUUUGUAUUGCUACGUUUAGCGCGAGGUCACGAGUCAUCUGAAAAGCAAGUUGGUACCUGGAAUCUCAAGUGCCAGGCAAGUUGUGCCCUUGAUCACUUCUUUUUACCCAGUCAUGUUCUAAUUAAUCUUAAUGACCUGCAUAGGUUAAUUUUGAUGGGACCCAAUAGGAUACCCUAGUUUGACUAUCUUUAUACCUUGUUCACCACUGAAUUUUUGGGUAGUACCUGCUAUUGCUUUAUGUGGUUUUGGGUAUAGAGAUACAAAUUACUAUUCAUGAUUAUAUUUUAUUAUCAGUUGUUAUUUACUGUUCAUGUUAAGAUCAUUAUGUUAAUUGGAACAUGGAGAACCACCCAGGAAAACAGUGCUACCACAAGGGUUUAAUGGGACGCCCUUGGCUGAUUAAUUAGGAAAGCUAGUGGAUGACUAUCUUACCCGAAAGGGGCAAGGGCAGUAGGGGAGUGGUCAGUGUAGGGAGGCCCUUGGGAUGAUUUUGCUGCGAUGGCGGUCAUGUGAGGGAUUCCUGCAUUGGAGCUUCCUAUAAACUGUAGCGGGUUUUCUGAAGCUAGUGGAACUUUGUAAAGGCCUCGUAGUGUUACCCUACCUCGCCUCCUCGGUAGAGGUGUAUGGGAUUGGCCGUCUCUUGGCAGAUGGGUAUUAUGACUUGUGGGUAAAGAUGCGCAACCUCUGCAGAGUGUAAAACUGGUAUACUAGUCGUGCUCAUGGUCAUGAGCAGCUCGGACACUCACAUGAUUAAAUUAUGGAACUUAAACUCAAUUUGUCAUAUGCAUUGCAUCGCAGGUGAGGUUGUUACUUUUGUUCUACUACUUAAUUGGGCUGGUAUUUACUUAUACUUAGUAAUUGCUAAUAAAAUUUUGACCAACUUUAAAAGCAAUGCUCAGCUCUAACCAUCAUCUUUGGUAAGCCUUACACUUCACGUGAGCUCCCACCUUUGGCGAGUUCAUGCACAUUAUUCCCCACAACUUGUUGAGCGAUGAACGUAUGUGAGCUCACUCUUGCUGUCUCACACCCCCCACAGGUCAAGAUCAGGUACCACAGGAUGAGGCGCAUGGAGGAUGCUGCGAUGUGUCCAUGAGAGUUCUAGGUCGUCGUCUCCCAGUCAACUUUGGGUUGUUGGACCGUUGUCUCCUUAUAAUGUAAUUAUUUAUUUAUUUUGUAUAGAACUCCUAUUAUAUAGUAAAGAUGUGACAUUCGAUCCUGUGCCAUGAUUCAUCAUAUGUGUGAGACUUGGUCCCAGCACACCUGGUGAUUAUGCUCGCGCCCGGGUCUUGGUGCCUCGAAACCCGGUGUGACAGAAGUGGUAUCAGAGGAAUGUUGACUGUAGGACGAAACCUAGAUAGAACUGGACAACCAUUAUCUACUUACCUUGCUACUCUGAUUCUUUCUAAACUUUUCUUAAAUCUUUUCUCAUCUAUUUCCGCUUUACUCUGAUUAUCCUUACCUUUUCACUUCUAAAGACAAACUUAGAUUUCACACAUUGAAAUCCGGUGCUUAAAGUGACUUUUAGGAAUAGGAGACCUACUCCUAGGAACAAAAACAAAACUAUUUUUGUAGGUAUCUAUGUGCUUCAAUGUUUGUCCUUGUGAUACUUGUUUGAUUUGGAUCUUUGGUUGAGUGUGAUGAGUUGUGGAGUAAUGUCCACAAUUACAUGUGCAUAUACAUGUAGGAAAAAAUGCUUAUAAAAAUAAUUAGAUAAACUAAAUUAUCUCUCAUUAAAGUAUCUAGCCUAACAAUAUUCAUCUCAUCUUGAAAGAUUCUAUCUUACACUCAUAGAUCCAUCUUAUCUUAAAAGAUAUUCUAUUACCUUAGUAGACUCAUCUUAUCUUAAAAAGAUUUUAUCUUCUCCGAAUAGAUCAAACUGACCUCUAAAGAUUCUACCUUAUCCUUAUGAAUUCAUCUUAUCUUGAAAGAAUCGCCUUAUCCUAACCAUCCUACUUAUCUCAUCCCAAAGUAACCACCAUGAUCUAAUCCAAGUCAAUGAGAUCUUAUCUAGUCUAUCUAGUCAUAACAAUCUAACCUAGAUUUAAUCUAAUGUGAUCUAAAUGUGAUCUAACCUAAUGUGGUCUACUAAAACAGAUUAGUGAUAUUGGUGAAAUAGAUUAGACCCCGAUCCAAUAAAACAUGAACCUAAAUUGGUGCCUUACACCAACUCGCCAUUGAUCAACGACCUAACCUACACCACAGGUUGCCUAGUUCAUCUAUUCCAAAGCAAAGUAAAACUCUGUUCAAACCUACCUACUUUGUGUACCCCGGCUAUCCUAACUAUAUAUCUUAACCAUAAGUCCUUAACUCGGAUGGCAACUCCAAGAAGAAAGGCCAAAGAAGACCAACCACGUCAAAGAAGGAUAAGCAUCAACUCAAGACUUCAAAGAUCAAGUUGAAUCGCCAGCAGAAUCAAGAUCCACAGUUCAGGAUGAAGUCUUUCCUUAUUAUACUCUUCCAUGCCACAACCUAUACUUGCCAUAAUCGUACCUCAUCUGACAUAAUAGAUGGCUAGACAUAUAUAUCCAUAUUUUCCAAAUCAUCUACUAGCGAGUAUAUAAAAAAAACUUGAAACAAAACUUUUGAUUCCUAAACCAAAUGAGAAACUAAAUUUCAAACCAAACUGGUUGCAUCCCUUUUCUACUAAUCUCGAGGACGAGAUUAUUUUUAAGGGGGGGUAGAAUUUGUAACACCUCAAAAUCCUAUUGUGGGAUUUAUAAAAGUUUGUUCGAAAGAUUAAGAACCAAAUAACUCUUAAUAAGGACUUCUCUCUUUUAAAAGUUAUAUCUCCUAAAAUUAAUAGUUGGUAAUACUAAAAAGGUUGUGAGUCAGAUAUAGAAACUAAAGUUUUUAAAGAAAACUUCAUUUGAAACCUAGAAGAGAAAGCAUAAUAAUAGAAAACCUUUCAUCAACUUGCUAAGAAUAUUACUCUCAUAAGCUAUAUAAUUAAAAAAAAUACGUUUCAAAUUAUUUUCCACGUAACUCUUAAUAAAGAAUGUAAAUUACUUUCUCCUAAAACAAGCACGUAAUAAAUGUGAACUAUAUUUAAAUACUUUUGAAAUAAUUUUUUUGAAUAGAUAAUUCUUUAAAGAAUUAUAUGUUUUGGAGCAUGGAAUAAAUACAUGAAUUAAUAAAAAAUUAUAUGUAUAUUUGCAUCCAUGCUCGGAUUUUCGAUUGAUGCAUUUAUGAUUGAAAUAGAACAUUUGAAUUUGAUUGGUAUUUCUGAAUUAAAAAUAGAAAUAAAAUUAGGAAUUGAAAAAAGAGCACUCAUCUCACCCUCUCGUCCAUAAGGCCCGAUCUGCCAGAUCACUUCACAAUUUCUCUUAUGUGCAGCCCACGUCCACUCUCCAUUUUCUACCGAAGGAAACCCAUCUCCAAUUGCUCUCUCUCUCUACACGUUCUGUUUUAUAUCUUUUCUUUAUUCCUUUGGCCGGAUCUUACAUCAGCGUGACCUCAGCAAUGACGUCAACAUGCAAGCAAACCAGGGUGCGUGCAUUGGUAUUCUUGGAUCACUGGCACGUGGGCCCCCUGGCGGGUUGUCUCCUUCAUGAUGCCGCUAGCUGGUAACAGACUCCUUUCCUGGCGGCGGGCUGGGCGCGUGUGACUCCGCUGGUCCUUCGUGAUUUGCGCAGAGCUUUGAAACGGAUCGACCGGGUAUAUAAAUAGGGGCCUCACGCACUAGUCCCAUCGGCUCGGCCCUCGACCACAGUAAAGGAUCAGGCGCAGGCAGGAAAAUAGACAGAGAGCGAAGAGAGGAGAAGAUUUGGCCGCCGCGGUUGCAACCCUGCGCAUGCGCCGCUCGGGCUUCGGUCGCAUGGUCUGGGUGACCCGCUGGGGUACAUAGAUGACGUCCGUGGCACUUGAGCGAGGAGAAGACUCUCGGUGGAGGCCGAAUUGCUCACCGGUUCGUGGACAUCACCGUCGGGCCGCAUCUCACCAUGGGGGCAGGUUCUCCACUGCUCCACCGUCGGUAAAAUACUCCUAGAAUUAUUCUGGGUUGAUUCCGCUUCGCGUUUUUGCUACUUCGAUUGGGGUUCGGUCGUCGGGGUGUUGGUUUCGCGGGCAUCAGUGAGCUAUCGGGGCGGAGCUCUUCUUCCGCCGCCCUGUCGUGCAGUCGGGAGCAGGAAGAAGCAUGGAGUCCAUUGAUCUAGUGAUCAACGGUGGCUAUAGGAAGAUGAAGUGGAUGAACCAGGACCGUUAGAUGGUGAUCCAGCGUGCGGAACUUGUGAUCGAAUCUGGGCGGUCGAUGUUAAAUCGUGCGGUCGAUGCUGGAUACCGAUUCGGGUUGGAGACAAUCUAAUCUGGGCCACGAGCUUCAGAUCCAACGGCCUGAAUUCGCAGAUACCCGUUCGGCCAUGACUUUUGCUAAAGAGCCCCCGGGGAAUGGUCAAACUAACCCGCCAUCUAUGCUGGUUCAAACAUAAUUCCAACCGGGACCUUUUAUUUGCAGAUUUAACCCUGUGCUUAUGAGAAAUAGUGGCCCUAGCCAGAAAGUUUAUGAAAUAGUUAUAUUAAUGAUUUUUGUUAUAAAAAUAAUCCAAGAAACUUGCUUAAUUUAUAUUAAAUCCAUUUUAACUCCUUUUUAACCCGUUCCAGUUGCAUUAAUUUUGUUUCAAUAUUCUCUAUCAACUAGUAACACUGUUUAGCCAUGAAACAUGAAUUAAGAUUGUUCAUUUGGAUUAAUCUAUUCUAAGCACUAAAAUAAUUUCGAAAACUCAUAACUCAAUAACAAUAGCUCCGUAUUGAGUGGUUCUUCUUUCUACGAUCUCGUUACGCAGUGUAGAUUAUUAUUAUGCAGUUUGUGCUUAUGUUUGGUGUAAUGUUAAUUUUGCCUAUACCAAUAUUUGUUUGUAUUGCUACGUUUAGCGAGAGGUCACGAGUCAUCUGAAAAGCAAGUUGGUACCUGGAAUCUCAAGUGCCAGGCAAGUUGUGCCCUUGAUCACUUCUUUUUACCCAGUCAUGUUCUAAUUAAUCAUAAUGAUCUGCAUAGGUUAAUUUUGAUGGGACCCAAUAGGAUACCCUAGUUUGACUAUCUUUAUACCUUGUUCACCACUGAAUUUUUGGGUAGUACCUGCUAUUGCUUUAUGUGGUUUUGGGUAUAGAGAUACACAUUACUAUUCAUGAUUAUAUUUUAUUAUCAGUUGUUAUUUACUGUUCAUGUUAAGAUCAUUAUGUUAAUUGGAACAUGGAGAACCACCCGGGAAAACAGUGCUACCACAAGGGUUUAAUGGGACGCCCUUGGCUGAUUAAUUAGGAAAGCUAGUGGAUGACUAUCUUACCCGAAAGGGGCAAGGGCAGUAGGGGAGUGGUCAGUGUAGGGAGGCCCUUGGGAUGAUUUUGCUGCGAUGGCGGUCAUGCGAGGGAUUCCUGCAUUGAAGCUUCCUAUAAACUGUAGCGGGUUUUCUGAAGCUAGUGGAACUUUGUAAAGGCCUCGUAGUGUUACCCUGCCUCGCCUCCUCGGUAGAGGUGUAUGGGAUUGGCCGUCUCUUGGCAGAUGGGAAACAUGACUUGUGGGUAAAGAUGCGCAACCUCUGCAGAGUGUAAAACUGGUAUACUAGCCGUGCUCACGGUCAUGAGCAGCUCGGACACUCACAUGAUUAAAUUAUGGAACUUAAACUCAAUUUGACAUAUGCAUUGCAUCGCAGGUGAGGUUGUUACUUUUGUUCUACUACUUAAUUGGACUGGUAUUUACUUAUACUUAGUAAUUGCUAAUAAAAUUUUGACCAACUUUAAAAGCAAUGCUCAGCUCUAACCAUCCUCUUUGGUAAGCCUUACACUUCACGUGAGCUCCCACCUUUGGCGAGUUCAUGCACAUUAUUCCCCACAACUUGUUGAGCGAUGAACGUAUGUGAGCUAACUCUUGCUGUCUCACACCCCCCCACAGGUCAAGAUCAGGUACCACAGGAUGAGGCGCAUGGAGGAUGCUGCAAUGUGUUCGUGAGAGUUCUAGGCCGUCGUCUCCCAGUCAACUUUGGGUUGCUGGACCGUUAUCUCCUUAUAAUGUAAUUAUUUAUUUAUUCUGUAUAGAACUCCUAUUAUAUAGUAAAGAUGUGACAUUCGAUCC
rnacentral:lncRNA from 1 species